rnacentral:rRNA from 1 species
AGAGUUUGAUCAUGGCUCAGAUUGAACGCUGGCGGCAUGCUUUACACAUGCAAGUCGAGCGGCAGCGCGGGAGCAAUCCUGGCGGCGAGCGGCGAACGGGUGAGGAAUACAUCGGAACGUACCCCGGAGUGGGGGAUAACGCCGCGAAAGCGGCGCUAAUACCGCAUAUGCUCUGUGGAGGAAAGUGGGGGAUCUGUAAGGACCUCACGCUCUGGGCGCGGCCGAUGUCCGAUUAGCUAGUUGGUGAGGUAAUGGCUCACCAAGGCGACGAUCGGUAGCUGGUCUGAGAGGAUGAUCAGCCACACUGGGACUGAGACACGGCCCAGACUCCUACGGGAGGCAGCAGUGGGGAAUUUUGGACAAUGGGGGCAACCCUGAUCCAGCCAUGCCGCGUGCGGGAAGAAGGCCUUCGGGUUGUAAACCGCUUUUAGUCGGGAGGAAAAGGCUACGGAUAAUACCCGUGGCUCUUGACGGUACCGGCGGAAUAAGCACCGGCUAACUACGUGCCAGCAGCGGCGGUAAUAC